rnacentral:rRNA from 1 species
GACGUAGGGCGCGAGCGUUGUCCGGAUUUAUUGGGCGUAAAGGGCUCGUAGGCGGUUCGUCACGUCGGGAGUGAAAACUCGGAGCUUAACUCCGAGCCUGCUUCCGAUACGGGCAGACUAGAGGUAGGCAGGGGAGAGCGGAACUCCUGGUGUAGCGGUGGAAUGCGCAGAUAUCAGGAAGAACACCGGUGGCGAAGGCGGCUCUCUGGGCCUUACCUGACGCUGAGAUGCGAAAGCGUGGGGAGCAAACAGG